rnacentral:rRNA from 1 species
GACGAUCGCUGGCGGCGUGCUUAACUCAUGCAAGUCGAACGGAAAGGCCCUGCUUUUGUGGGGUGCUCGAGUGGCGAACGGGUGAGUAACACGUGAGUAACCUGCCCUUGACUUUGGGAUAACUUCAGGAAACUGGGGCUAAUACCUGAUAGGAGCUCCUGCUGCAUGGUGGGGGUUGGAAAGUUUCGGCGGUUGGGGAUGGACUCGCGGCUUAUCAGCUUGUUGGUGGGGUAGUGGCUUACCAAGGCUUUGACGGGUAGCCGGCCUGAGAGGGUGACCGGGCACAUUGGGACUGAGAUACGGCCCAGACUCCUACGGGAGGCAGCAGUGGGGAAUAUUGCACAAUGGGCGGAAGCCUGAUGCAGCAACGCCGCGUGCGGGAUGACGGCCUUCGGGUUGUAAACCGCUUUCGCCUGUGACGAAGCGUGAGUGACGGUAAUGGGUAAAGAAGCACCGGCUAACUACGUG